GCCACCGUAGUGUAGCGGUCAAACACAUCUGACCCAGCUUGUCAGAAGACGUGGGUUCGAAUCCCAUCUGUGGCG